rnacentral:rRNA from 1 species
GUGUCAGCAGCCGCGGUAAUACGGAGGAUGCAAGCGUUAUCCGGAAUUAUUGGGCGUAAAGCGUCCGUAGGUGGCUUUACAAGUCAGCUGUUAAAGCGUGGAGCUUAACUCCAUAAAGGCAGUUGAAACUGUGAGGCUAGAGUGCGGUAGGGGUAAGGGGAAUUCCCAGUGUAGCGGUGAAAUGCGUAGAUAUUGGGAAGAACACCGGUGGCGAAAGCGCCUUGCUGGACCUGCACUGACACUGAGGGACGAAAGCUAGGGGAGCGAAAGGGAUUAGAUACCCCUGUAGUCC